rnacentral:rRNA from 1 species
UACGGAGGAUGCGAGCGUUAUCCGGAUUUAUUGGGUUUAAAGGGUGCGUAGGCGGACUGUCAAGUCAGCGGUAAAAUUGAGAGGCUCAACCUCUUUCCGCCGUUGAAACUGGUGGUCUUGAGUGGAUGAGAAGUACGCGGAAUGCGUGGUGUAGCGGUGAAAUGCAUAGAUAUCACGCAGAACUCCGAUUGCGAAGGCAGCGUACCGGCAUCCAACUGACGCUGAGGCACGAAAGCGUGGGGAUCAAACAGG